rnacentral:snRNA from 1 species
AUAAUUUUGCAACCCUAAUCAAGUGUAGUAUCUGUUCUUAUCAGUUUAUCUAAUACAUCCCCUGCCGGGGAUUACUUAUUAAAUGGGGUUUUCAAAUAGGGAGUGGGAAAUGGGAGUUGCUCCACUUUAUUUAUUUAACUGGGCAAAUCAGUUAAGAACAAAUUCUUA